rnacentral:lncRNA from 1 species
UCUAUUAAGCCACUCGAUAUAUUCAGGCGUCGUUGAUGGACCUACUGCCAACCUCUUCAAUCGGCGAGUCUGCCUCCAAGCAUUAGUCAUUUCUCGUAUCUUCUUCUUGUAACCAUCACACUUAUACGAGAAUUCACACUGAGCUAAUCCAUGGGUUGUUGGUACGAACUGCCUUGACCUAUACUGUCUCAGUACCAAUAACGGUGCAUAGCCAAUAGCCCCCCAAAUCCCAAGUAAAGGGACCCAGUCAAAAUCUCCACACCUAUAUAAGAUCUCAUCUGACAGCAUCCAAUGAGCUCUCCAUUCAAUAUCCCCCUCUUGAAGAUUCUGAAGAGUUGCCAUCCAUUUUUCCUCUGAGA